rnacentral:lncRNA from 1 species
UUCCAGGACGCCUAGAAGCCCAGCCUUGAAGAACACCUGGGGGCGGAGAGCCCCUCAGGCCUCCACCUGGAGCAGCAGGCAGGGGGAAGGGGUCACCCACCGCUGCCGGAAGUCGGUGUAGAGCAACCUGUUGGGGAACCCUUGGCGGCAGAUCCGGAUCCCCUCCAGGACCCCAUUGCAGCGCAGCUGGUGUAGCACCAAGAAGGCAUCCAUGACCCCUGGACGUGAGAGGGGAAAAGGUCAGAGGUCAACAGGCACAC